UAGCAAACUAUAUACUUCUAUGUGAUUUUUCUUAACAGUAUCCUGGUGAUCUUUCUAUAUUGAUAAAGAGAUAGCUUCCUUUUAAAAAAUCUAGAACUCUUUGUAGUAUGAUUAUUUGUUGUAGUUUAUUUAACCUGGCCCUUACAUUUUCUAGUCUUUUUAUUAACACAUUUAAGUUACUUAAAUAUAACUAUAUGUGAUUAGCAAAAAGGAAAAUUCUUGUGUUGUUUGUCCACUGAAUGGGUGCCUCAAAGGGAACUUGAGAACAAGAGAUGUGCUUUUGUUAUCUUAGUUGAUCAACUUACCUUGUGUCUAAGCAUAAAUGGCUCUCCACAUUAAAUAGGGUUUUAGUGUUUCAGGUCACAUGGCUCCUUAACAGAACCAGCUAUUUAAAUUGAAUUCUUAUCU